rnacentral:rRNA from 1 species
CCAGCACUGCGUAGCGCGGUGGUCCCACCUGACCCCAUGCCGAACUCAGAAGUGAAACGCCGUAGCGCCGAUGGUAGUGUGGGGUCUCCCCAUGCGAGAGUAGGGAACUGCCAGG